rnacentral:rRNA from 1 species
UGGCGUGGCAAUAGCACUUUGAAUCCGCCAGUUCUCAUUGGAUACCUGUAGUCAAGCAACGCCGCGCGUGGUUGGUAUCCAGAUGGGU